rnacentral:rRNA from 1 species
UACGUAGGUGGCAAGCGUUGUCCGGAUUUACUGGGCGUAAAGAGCGCGCAGGCGGUCGUUCAAGUCGCGUGUGAAAGCCCCCGGCUCAACUGGGGAGGGUCACGCGAUACUGAUCGACUCGAAGGCAGGAGAGGGUAGUGGAAUUCCCGGUGUAGUGGUGAAAUGCGUAGAUAUCGGGAGGAACACCGGUGGCGAAGGCGGCAUCCUGGACCAACACUGACACUGAGGAGCGAAAGCCAGGGGAGCAAACGGG